rnacentral:rRNA from 1 species
CCUACGGGAGGCAGCAGUGAGGAAUAUUGGUCAAUGGACGAGAGUCUGAACCAGCCAAGUAGCGUGAAGGAUGACUGCCCUAUGGGUUGUAAACUUCUUUUAUAUGGGAGUAAAAUGUUCCACGUGUGGGAUUUUGUAUGUACCAUAUGAAUAAGGAUCGGCUAACUUCGUGCCAGCCGCCGCGGUAAGACGGAGGCUCCGAGCGUUAUCCGGAUUUAUUGGGUUUAAAGGGAGCGUAGGUGGUUUGUUAAGUCAGUUGUGAAAGUUUGCGGCUCAACCGUAAAAUUGCAGUUGAAACUGGCAGACGUGAGUACAGUAGAGGUGGGCGGAAUUCGUGGUGUAGCGGUGGAAUGCGUAGAUAUCACGAAGAACUCCGAUUGCGAAGGCAGUUCACUGGACUGCAACUGACACUGAGGCUCGAAAGUAUGGGUAUCGAACAGGAUUAGAUACCCGUGUAGUC